CCUACGGGAGGCAGCAGUGAGGAAUAUUGGUCAAUGGGCGCGAGCCUGAACCAGCCAAGUCGCGUGAGGGAAGACGGCCCUACGGGUUGUAAACCUCUUUUGCCGGGGAGCAACGGGCGCCACGUGUGGCGCCACUGAGAGGACCCGGAGAAAAAGCAGCGGCUAACUCCGUGCCAGCAGCCGCGGUAAUACGGAGGAUGCGAGCGUUAUCCGGAUUUAGGGGGUUGAAAGGGUGCGUAGGCGGAGCGUUAAGUCAGUGGUCAACUUGAGGGGCUCAACCCCUUCCCGCCAUUGAAACUGGCGCUCUUGCGUGGACGAGAAGUAUGCGGCAUGCGUGGUGUAGCGGUGAACUGCAUAGCUAUCACGCAGACCCCCGAUUGCGACGGCAGCCUGCCGGCUUCCUACUGACGCUGACGCACGAAAGCGUGGGGCUCGAACCGGCUUAGAUACCCUAGUAGUC
rnacentral:rRNA from 1 species